AAUGAGGCUUUCCCUUUAUGUCCUGCAAGCACACAUCCUGAAAAUGACCUUAUUCUGGCAGUGGCAUCAGCAGACAAAAACGAGUUUGGAGUAGAAGUUGACGUGGUGCUUUUUUCGCUAGUGAGAAACUCAGGAAGCAACUGCGGAGAUGAGAAUUAGUAGAAAUCUCGUUGAAGGCUGUGAAAAGAUGGGUUUGCCAUUUGUCAGAAAGGGUAAAGACAAUCGAAGAGGUCCUGCUGGAAGACUUUUACACCUUUUGAGAACUGUGCAGCCCAAUCUGAGGUCAUUUCAACAAACUGCUAUUUUUAAAAAGGGGACAGAAGUUGCUGUGGAGGGGAAAAGGCCUUUAACUGAAGCGUGGUUAUGAAGUUGAAGAUGGGCUGGGGUCACAGAACUCAGU